rnacentral:rRNA from 1 species
UACGGAGGGGGCUAGCGUUGUUCGGAAUUACUGGGCGUAAAGCGCACGUAGGCGGCUUUGUAAGUUAGAGGUGAAAGCCCAGGGCUCAACCCUGGAAUUGCCUUUAAGACUGCAUCGCUAGAAUUGUGGAGAGGUAAGUGGAAUUCCGAGUGUAGAGGUGAAAUUCGUAGAUAUUCGGAAGAACACCAGUGGCGAAGGCGACUUACUGGACACAUAUUGACGCUGAGGUGCGAAAGCGUGAGGAGCAAACAGG